AGUGAACGCUGGCGGUAGGCCUAACACAUGCAAGUCGAACGGCAGCACAGUAAGAGCUUGCUCUUACGGGUGGCGAGUGGCGGACGGGUGAGGAAUACAUCGGAAUCUACUUUUUCGUGGGGGAUAACGUAGGGAAACUUACGCUAAUACCGCAUACGACCUACGGGUGAAAGCAGGGGAUCUUCGGACCUUGCGCGAUUGAAUGAGCCGAUGUCGGAUUAGCUAGUUGGCGGGGUAAAGGCCCACCAAGGCGACGAUCCGUAGCUGGUCUGAGAGGAUGAUCAGCCACACUGGAACUGAGACACGGUCCAGACUCCUACGGGAGGCAGCAGUGGGGAAUAUUGGACCAUGGGCGCAAGACUGAUCCAGCCAUACCGCGUGGGUGAAGAAGGCGUUCGGGUUGUAAAGCCCUUUUGUUGGGAAAGAAAAGCAGCAGGUUAAUACCCCGCUGUUCUGACGGUACCCAAAGAAUAAGCACCGGCUAACUUCGUG
rnacentral:rRNA from 1 species